rnacentral:rRNA from 1 species
GACGAACGCUGGCGGCGUGCUUAACACAUGCAAGUCGAACGGAAAGGCCUGCUUUCCCUUGUGGAUUGCGGGUACUCGAGUGGCGAACGGGUGAGUAACACGUGAGUGAUCUGCCCCCAACUUGGGUAUAAGCCUGGGAAACUGGGUCUAAUUCCCGAUAGGACUGCAGGGUGGUGCCUGUGGUGGAAAACGAUUUUCUAGUGGUUGGGGAUGAGCUCGCGGCCUAUCAGCUUGUUGGUGGGGUAAUGGCCUACCAAGGCGGCGACGGGUAGCCGGCCUGAGAGGGUGGACGGCCACAUUGGGACUGGGAUACGGCCCAGACUCCUACGGGAGGAAGCAGUGGGGAAUAUUGCACAAUGGGCGGAAGCCUGAUGCAGCGACGCCGCGUGGGGGAUGACGGCCUUCGGGUUGUAAACUCCUUUCGACCGCGAGGAAGCCACCUGGUUGGAAGGGUGGUGACGGUAGUGGUAGAAGAAGCACCGGCUAACUACGUG